rnacentral:tRNA from 1 species
AGAGUCUUAAGUUAAUGAAACUAUAAGCCUUCAAAGCUUAAAAUGAGAAUACUCAGCCUCUU